UACGUAGGGCGCAAGCGUUUGUCCGGAUUUAUUGGGCGUAAAGAGCUCGUAGGCGGCUUGUUGCGUCGUCCGUGAAAACCCGCAGCUCAACUGCGGGCUUGCGGACGAUACGGGCAGGCUGGAGUUCGGUAGGGGAGACUGGAAUUCCUGGUGUAGCGGUGGAAUGCGCAGAUAUCAGGAGGAACACCGGUGGCGAAGGCGGGGUCUCUGGGCAGUAACUGACGCUGAGGAGCGAAAGCGUGGGGAGCGAACAGG
rnacentral:rRNA from 1 species